AGUCCUAUGAUGAAUCUAUCCCGAACCCGAGUAUUGAUGAAAAAUUCAAACGGAUCUGACUGCUGACCUGGAC